rnacentral:lncRNA from 1 species
UUUUCUGAUGUGACACACUACAUGAAGUCGGAAGACCCUUCCGGCAAUCCUAUCAAGAAGAAGAAGGGAGCGCAUCUCUACCGUGAAGCGGUGCUUCCUCAUUUGGCUGUGAGAUUGCGCGGUGCCAAACUGAUUCGGAUGAGGAAGGCCGAAGGAUCUGGUCCUCGUGGCACCUUUGAGACUGGGUCGAGCUCGAGGUCGGUACCAGAGUUUGCCCCCUUCCGGACUAAUUUUGAUUAUCCGGGUCUGUUUGCCGAUGAAGGGGUGCGAGCUAAGGCUACCCAGCUACUUCUGACGAAGCCUGGGG